rnacentral:rRNA from 1 species
UACGUUCCCGGGCCUUGUACACACCGCCCGUCAAGCCAUGAAAGCUGGGAGCAUCUAAAGUAGGUUGCCGUAAGGCGCCUCCUAGGUGAAACCGGUGAUUGGGGCU